AAAAGAAUAGCAUUAGUCAUUUAAUAUAUAUUACUCCCAGCCAAACUCACGUCUGUACUCCCUAUCAAACUCAUGUAUAUAUUUUAGUAUACUCCCAACUUAACACUUUUAUCAACUAAAGAAAAGGGAAAAAAAAAAAAGUAGUACAUAACUCCCAAAUCAUCACACGUAUAUAUCCUCUGCCAUUUAGCCACGCCUAUCUCUUCCUCUCGUCUCUAUCUCUAUCUCCAUCUCUAUCUCCCCCAUUCUCAAACUUCUCUCUGAAAUUCUCCUAACAAUUCACAAUGCAGGAACAAUCCCAAAUUAUCUCCCAAAUUAUUUCACAGAAGCAUAAUUCCUAUCCGUCAUAGCUCUCUCCCUCUUUCUCACAAAAACAGAAGUAACCAAAGGACUCUCAUCUCUCGUUCCAAAAAUCGACGCCGCAACCGCCUUCGUCGCUGCUGCAGUCACGGCCUCUCCGUCACCGCCACUGUCCGCCACCGAUCCCGGCGGUCAGCUCCUCCGUCGCGGCACCGCUACUCCCAACGACACAUGGUUUAAUUGAAAUUGAAAAGAAACAGGAGACAGCUUCUAAAGCCUUAAAGUUCGAAGCUUUAGGAGGAAAAAGAUUAUCAUUCAACAAGUUUCAAGAAAUUAAAUUCCAAAACUUUUCCGGGCUGUGAUCUACUGUGAAAUAUAUGUGACCAUGAUGUGGAGGAUUUCAGCGAUUAAGGAUAUACCUUUGAAGAGAAGAAAAUUUGCACAAGCAGAAGGUAUUGAAAAGUCACACUCUCAAUUUCUCCUUCCCAUUGUAAAUGUCGAAUUUUGGGGUCAACAACUACGGAGGGUUUCGAAUUCAAUGGAAGGAGCAGAAAUUACCUUCGCGGAAGAAGCAGAACUUGCAGAAGAGAAGAUAUUGAAAAAAAAAUCACAACUCGUUGCGUUUCUCCUCCACACUGUGAUUUCGAGAAUUUUGAUUAUGGAAUCGACCAAUAUGCAGAUUUUCAAAUUCAAUGGGAGGGGAAGAAAUUACCUUCACUGAAAGGGAAGAAAACUGCAGGGACGACGGACUGCUGAGAUUGUGGGAGGAGAUGUAUAAUAUAGAGAUUUCAUUGGUUUGUUGAGAGAUUUUUGGUAGUGGGAGCAACGGUGGAGACGUGGAUUUAGGAGAGGGAAUUUAUUUUGACUAAGAAUUUGACUGUAGUAGAAGAAUAAUUAAUUUAUAUUUUGGCUUCUCAAAAUCGGUCAACCAAAAAGGAAUAAAAGCUAUAAACAUGGGAGGUAAAAAGAUAAGCCCAAAUAUUUGGUUUAGAGUAUUUAUUGGUAUUUUAUUUUUAGUAUUUUGGUGAUUAAAUAAGAACACCUAAUAUUUCCAUCGA